CUUGACAGCUUGUGUGAUGAUAAGGAUUCUACAAAUCCUAGCAUUUUACUUCCUCCGUCCUGGCUAAGAUGACAAAUUGCUUAGCAAGCACGGGGUUUUAGGAGUUAUUGGUUAAAGUGUUUAAUUGGAGAGAGAGAAGGGAUCAUGGCUGUCAAACUUGGAGCUUUGUGGGGGAGGAAUCGAGGCGAAGAGAGGAAAAGAAGGAUGUAAUCUUUUGUAUAGCUAGGAAGGGUAGAGUAGCUUGGGAUGUGUUGUCCCUUCCAUUUACAUAUUACAACUUGUAUAGCAUGUACCAUUUGUAUCUCCAUCAUUCUUGAAAUAACACUCCUUGAUUCCUAUUUUCUCCAAA